GCAGCUUUUACCACAGCGGAGAAGUCCAGCGGCUUUAGGAAGAGAUCGCCAGCAGCCUUCGCCAUGAGAUUUAAUCUUGCUAAUCAUACGUACUCGCAUGAAUCAGGAGGUAAAAAAAAAGAAGAAGAAGAGGAAGAUGGAAUUAGGGCAUAUGUAGAAACCGUGAAAUAUUCAGAAAUUAAACCCAAAACGAAUUUUGUCAAUCGCUUCUUUUUUUUUUUUUUAACCUAGAGUACUUUACAGUGAGAGAGUAAUAAAAAUGAAAAAAAAAAAAAAGAGAAUACUGUACAUAUGUGGGGAGGUAGGUGGUAAAGUUAAUGAGUGUUUUUUUGAAGGACAAGUGCAUCGUCGUCAUCAUAUGUCAACUAUAUUUAGCCCCAGCCUUUUAGCUUCUGAACUGGUUUUGUAUUAGUCAACAGUUCUCUUUUCUCUAAUAUCUCCUUUUUAAUUAA